rnacentral:lncRNA from 1 species
AGCUAUCUUACUAAACAUGAAGAGCCUUUGUAAUCUUGGUUUUAAUGAAAAAUACCAUAGUAUUUUGUGAGGAACCUUAAUACUCUUGCCAUCAUCAAACUUUCAUCUUGGUUCCUUAUAUAUUGGACAGUAUUUUUCUAUUUCAUAUUCCUUCCAAAAGAGCACACAAUCAUACUUGCAUGCCUCAAUAGGCUCAUAACCCAAUCCUAUACUAAAUAGAAGUUUUCUAGCUCCAUAAUACGAUGAGAGAAAUAAUACACCUUCUAGUAGCAAGUCCUUUAAAAAAUUGAACAACAUAAGGAUUUGUUGGUCC